AUGUAGUAGGACCUCGGAGGUCCCCACUCUCUCAUCUCUGGGACUUGAUACUUCCUCAUUAGUUUAAGAUAUGUUUGCAUGAGUUGCUAGACUAUUCAUAUUACAUAUUAGCUAUUACAUAUCCUCAAGAUGAAUUCAGAACCAGAAUCUUCUUUUAAAAAUUUGACUACGGAGUUAAGGAGGCAGGAGAAGUUUUUAUUUUCUUGCCUACUGUUUUGCUAGAGAAUUAGCAUUGAAAGUUCUGGUGCUAUGGUUCUCUCUGACGCACACACAGAGGCCGUUGGAGGGCUUCUGAAAACUCCUGUGCAUGCCUGAUGAGUUCCUGCUGGCGACCCAGGGACCACACUUUGAGAACCACUGUUCUAGUAUAAACCAGA
rnacentral:lncRNA from 1 species